rnacentral:rRNA from 1 species
GACGUAGGGCGCGAGCGUUGUCCGGAAUUACUGGGCGUAAAGAGCUCGUAGGUGGUUUGUCGCGUUGUUCGUGAAAACUCACAGCUUAACUGUGGGCGUGCGGGCGAUACGGGCAGACUGGAGUACUGCAGGGGAGACUGGAAUUCCUGGUGUAGCGGUGGAAUGCGCAGAUAUCAGGAGGAACACCGAUGGCGAAGGCAGGUCACUGGGCCGCAACUGACGCUGAGGAGCGAAAGCAUGGGGAGCGAACAGG